GCUGGCAGUGUAAUUAAACAUCACCAAAGAUGCACCUACCUAUUAAAGAGCAGUGAGUAUAAACUAUGGUAGUGUUUACGAAGGAGUACAAGCUGCAGCCCGGUGUCAAAAGUUUGAGUUUUGAGUCGCCCAAAUUCCUGACCUCAUGUAGACGAUUGGCUGAAACGCAACAAUACUUUACUGUUUUCAAAUUGUUUCAAUUUCUGCAUAAAAAAAGGACCCUGAGUGAUAUUUUGCUAACUACUCAAAUCAUUGAGGAAUCAUGACCCUAUGAUGUCAAGACUGUCUGCUACUUUUAGCUAGCUUUAAAAGCACGUUUUGAGCUAGCUUUGUAAACAUUAUAAGUUACUUUCAGCUAACUUUGUCAAACGUCUUUAGUGGUGUUUUGUAUCUUAAAACUUGACCACAUUUUCCUUAAUACUUUCACCAUUGAUAUAUUGUCAAUUUGCAAAACUUGAUAUUGUCUAGUAAAACUUUUAGCUAGGGUGACCAUACAUCCUCUUUUACCCUGACAUGUCCUCUUUUUGGGGCCUGUUCAGCCUUGUCGGGGGGAGUUUAUAAAAUCUUUCAAAUGUCCCAGAUUUUGUACCGAAGAUUUGAGUUUGUGUUGCAUGGAUUUACUGAGUUAGAAGCAUAUAAAAGACACUCAACUCAACAAACUCUCAAAAUUUGCUAAGUGCAACUCCAUGACUAGUCGUGUCCUCUUUUCGGGGAUUCAUAAUAUGGUCACCCUAUUUUAGCUAGCUUACUUACCUGCCUGUAUUUUUGCUAACUACCUCAAACAAUAUUGAUUGAACUUUUAACUACUGGCUUGUUAACUUGAUAGUGAACUAGACUGCCUACUUGGCUUUCCUUAGCAACACUUAAAACGACACACACAACUUCUAAUAGGCGUCAGAAAUUCUUUACUGUCAUUUUUGUUUGUCUCCAAAAGUCGAGAUUUGUGAAAUCUGAUCUUUGAUGUCUGACGCCACAAUCCAUGAUACUCAGCUUGACUCCCAAUUCUGCCUGCGUCAGAGGAACCAGUCCACAAAUGUAUGUGAUUCAUUGCGAAAGAGUCUCAUUGUUCCGUAUUACAAUGCACAAUAUUUUUAGGGAAGUUCCUCAUUUGAAACUGUGUGAAAAAUGCUGAAUCUCUUUGAUGCUGAAAUUGCAGAAGGUUCGAACAGUAUGCUUUCUUACGUAACGCUGACAUACAGUUGUUGAGUUCCCAGGAUUGCAGCAGGUCACUUCUGCAAAUGUAGACUCAUAAAAUAAUCUGUUCUGACUCAGCGUGACCCUUAAUGAGUUUAUAAUGACUUUUCACAUGAGUUACCAUGAGACAACAUCACAGUUUCCAAAACCAGUUUCAUUAAUUGCAAAUGUUUUGAGCUGCUGGUAUACACUGUAAAACUUCUGUCAGGAUUCAAGAAAGUAAAACGAUAUGUAGCUGCAGGUCCAUGAAUGGAUCCAUUAAGUCUUUUUGUCAAUGAGAGGACCUGGCGUCACAGCAGGUCUAUUGUUCCAGGAAACGUUUAACCCUGCUGACCCGCUGUCUUCCUCUCUGCAGGAACUUUAAUGGUCUUAUCUUGGUCCCCUCUCAGGACUUUCUACACAUUUCUCCACCUUGAGAUCCAAACAGUCAUUGACACUGAAGUUAAAAAAGAAACCUGCCUUUAAAUCGCUUUCUUCUACAAAUUCAUUCAUGUGUUUUUAUUGUAACCUUUGAAAUCCAUUGAUUUAUCCUCUAUCCAAUUAAUCAACUCAUUAAUUUGGUGAUCUGAACAUGUCUUUAUUUAUAGCGGUUGUUCAAGCAAACAUGGACACGUAUAAAGGCCAAAGAAACUUCCCAACAAACUCCAACUAGACAUGACUCUCUGCACCAAAGCAUCAAGUUUGUCUACGUGUCGGGUCUCAGUCUCUGCAGUUACCACCUCCUUAAUCCAUGUCAUAUCAUGACAGCACUGUCUCUGCUCUUAGCUGCUGGUUAUCCUCUUAACUCUAAGGUUACAUGGCCCACUAACAUUACCCUGAUCUCUAUAUGAGGAAUUAAGUACAGCGAGUACAGCGUGCAGCUCAGGGAUCAUAUGAAUCUGACAUUAGAUAUCAUCGUUUACGCUGCAGCCAACUCUUGACAUCUGCAGAUGUCUAUUCCAUAGACUGUACAAUCUCAUAUUAAUAUGCAGAUAGCAGUAACACUUUACUUGACACCUAUCUCUAUAACGCAUUAAAAAUAAAUGUAUCAUGCGUUAUAAUCACAGUGGUUUUAAAACGAAAUGCAUUGGAGUCUACAUUUCUGCACCUAAAUGCAUCAUUUUUGUCUGAUUGUUUAUGAAAUUGCUGUCUGGGUAACACUUUACUUGACGCCUAUCUCUAUAAUGCAUUAUAAACAAAUGUAUUAUGCAUUAUAAUCAUGUUAUAACACUGUAUAACUAUAGUUAUAAACAUUCAUAAAUGAUCAUAAUGCUUUAUAGCAGUAAUCAUGACACAUUAUGAAGCAUUUUCUCAUGUAUUAUAAUGUGCUGUAACUGUUAACAACUCACUGACAAUGUCCACAUAGAUAAUGCAUUAUACAUAUAUUUAUGAUGUGUUAUAAUUUGCUUAUAAACUUGUAUAACUAUCAUUAUAACCACUCAUUAAUUAUCAUAAUGCUUUAUAACAAUAAGCACAUUAUAUACAUUAUAAUACCUGACCUUGUAAGUCAUGAUAAAAUGCUUGACAAUGUGUUAUUGCUAUAAAGCUUUAUGAUCAUUUAUGAGUGUUUAUAACUGUAGUUAUACAGCACUAUAACACGAUUAUAACGUAUUAUACAUUUAUUUACAAUACGUUAUAGAGAAAGGCGUCAAGUCAAGUGUUACCCAGAUAGCAAUUUCAUAAACAAUCAGACAAAAAUGAUGCGUUUAGGUGCAGAAGUGUAGACUCCAAUGCAUUUCUUUUCAAAACUUCUGCAUCAGAUACCUAAUCCUGGCAUGACAGCAUUUCUGUCCCGCCCACAGCUGCAUACCUCAGGUACCAUGUCUUCUGUGUGGAUGUGCUCAAGCAUCAACAGUCAGAGGCAACACCUUUACUCUUGCUGAGGGUGUAGCCUGAAGAGCAACAUUACUGAGAGUUUGGUCAUAAAGGGAAAACCCUCUCUAACCAACUGGAAAUUCGAAUGAAGUCUCACCAAUCCUGCAAAAGUAUUUUGAUCUUGUUGAUGAUUAUUCCGGUUAUUGUUGAUGAGAUUGACUUAAGCAAACAAAACUAACCUGUUUUUCUUCAUCAUCUGCAUCCACGCAAAACCCAUCCUACCAGUUUGUUACCCAAGACAAAAUUUAGAUUCAAGGCCAUUAGUGUCAACCUGUUUUUGCACUAUUUUUGACCGUGUUAUCAAAGUCCAGAUUGAGGUUUCAUGUCAUUCUCAGUCUUGUUUCCAUCACGCUGAUAUGCUUCUGUCCUUCACUUUCAUUAGUCGUCUCAUGUUUUUUUUUAGCAUUAUGUAACAGCGGUCAGUGGGUGGUGGUGAUGAAGAGGAAGUGUUUCUAAGAAGCUGUCAUGUUCUUCUUGAUUAUGAUAUUCUCAGAGGUUAGUUGUUUGUGAGGGAUGGUUACAGGUUGGUGUUUGUGAUUAACUUGUGAGAUCUGAAUGACCAAAGCUUGGAUGAGUCAUUCAUCGGGAUGUUUGUUGACCUGCGGCCCCUGACAGAGAAGUAAUAUCGAAACUAAAAGUCCAUCAGCUUCACUUCUACAUCCCAGAAGAAUUAUAUUAGUUUCCGAUAAGUCCUCAUGUGUGAAGCUAACCCUACCCCUAAC